AGUCGAACGAAGUAGCAAUACUUAGUGGCAGACGGGUGAGUAACAUGUAGGUAUCUGCCCUUUGGCCUGGAAUAACACGAGGAAACUUGUGCUAAUACCGGAUAAGUCUUUACGGAGAAAGCUUUAUGCACCAUUGGAUGAGCCUGCACUUGAUUAGUUUGUUGGUGGGGUAAUGGCCUACCAAGACUGUGAUCAAUAGCUGAUUUGAGAGGAUGAUCAGCCACAUUGGGACUGAGACACGGCCCAAACUCCUACGGGAGGCAGCAGUGGGGAAUCUUGCACAAUGGAGGAAACUCUGAUGCAGCGAUGCCGCGUGAGUGAAGAAGGCCCUUGGGUUGUAAAGCUCUUUCGUCGGGGAAGAAAAUGACUGUACCCGAAUAAGA
rnacentral:rRNA from 1 species